rnacentral:lncRNA from 1 species
GAAAUUUGAAGCAAAAAUUGCAUCAGUACAACACAAGCCCUCAAUGGAUACUCCUUUGGUAUUACCGUGUGACGAAUCCUGAGGAGUCCCACGGACGAUUCAUUAGUGGGUAGAACAAUUUUUCCAUUCCAUGCUUCACCAUAUUUUACUUCUUCAUUUGAACUAGUGGUUGUUUCAGCAAAAUUGGUUGCCACGGCAGAGAUAUUCGCGUUGGAUACUCCACAAAUCCUAUUUCCAUAGCGAAAAUUAUGGGAAUCACAAGAUAGGUAUAAAGCAAAUAGAUUGAAAUGGCGCUUAGCGAUAAUGGAAGAGAAAGUAGUGUUGAAAUUGGGAGAGAAAUUCGAGAGCUUGGAUGGAAAAGUAAAGAAACGAUGCUUAGAUAAAGAUACUGUCAUUGCUAUGUUUCUGUAAAGGUUUAGUGCUUAGAAAAGUAAAGAAACGGUGCUUAUAAUUUGUGGUGUUAUGGGGUUUUCCACCACCUCCACCACCACCACCACCACAAUCACUUUUUUAUUUUUUUAUUUGGGACUCUUUUGAACUUUUUUAAAAAUUGGGGCUAUGAUUGCAAUUAAUUCUUUGUUUUGUUUUUUUAUUUAAAUAGAAAGACAAAUUAGUCAUUUUAUAGCUUUUUAUUGAGACAAAUGAUGAAAAUGAUAUUUUACACAAGAAAAAAAAAUUAGGAAUGAAAUGCGUCAAAAAACGAAAGAUGGGGAUGUUUUUCACAAAAAUCAUAAAAGAUAAGGACAUUUUGUGCUAAUUAUCCAAGGAAAAACUAUUCAUUUCCUUGUUCACCCCACCCCACCGGAAAAUUGAAUAAUGGCGGAUACUCACCGGCGGCCACAUGUGGAAAUCGGCCUCAUUACCAAUGGGUCUCAUCACAGAUUAAAGCAACUAAGUUGUACAGAUACAAACGCAUACAUCUCACCCAUAAGCAGCUGAAGAAUUUGCCCAAAAAUACCAGGAGGAAAAGCUAAGAGACUCCACAGGAAUUUUGCGUUGUCCGCCACCAUAACUCAGUCGAAGCCUACUGAGGCUCUGCCCUCCGUUAACAGUGGCAUUGGUUUAACUACUCAGACCAUUUCCUCCAAGUGUCAGGCCCAAGAAAGGCCAUCUCUGGUGUCAUUUCCUCUGAUACACCACAAUGGACCAUUCACAAGGUGUGUUGAAGGUAGAGCCAACGUAGUGAGUUCGCAUAAAAACCUCAAUGAAGAAAGAGGAAUCGACUGAAGUGAAUGAAAAUUGGGGUGGGUGGCGGGGAG